GUUACGGAAAUAAUAUAAUCCUAAAAAUUGGAUAUGGAAAGUAUCCGAUGUAUGUAUCCAAACCCAUUUUAAUAUCUAAUUUUGAAGUAUCUAAUUAUGAAAAUUGGGUUAAUUUUGACCCUACUCGUAUUAUAUUUUGUACUUCUCUUUGACUAAUAUAGAGAUAUAGAGAUAUGAUUCAACGACUAAUUGCUAUUCGUAUCAUUUGACCUGCUAGUCUUUACCUCGUAUUAACUUUUAUUUAGUUUGUUAUCAAAGACACAAUUAAUUUGAGUCAACGACCAAUAAACUGAUUGCUAGCCAUAUAUGAUAGAAUAUACUUUUGUAUGAAGAAGAGACUAAGUUUUACUUAUGUUUUAUAAAGUUUUUACUUGCAUUUCAUAAAGUUUUUACUUAUGUUUUACAUAUGUUUUACUUAAGGUUAGCGACCACUCACCUUACAAUUAUCAACCUUUAAUUUGUUACCUUUUUCUAAGUAUGAGUUUCGUGAUUACAUUCUUCUCACUUGUUCUUCCUCUUCUUCUAAAAAUGAUACACAAUGAUGAAACUUUGGUUGUUGUUACCGAGAAUGAAGAACCUGAAGACGACAGUGAGAGGACGACGACAACGUCUCAUUGAACGUUUUCGUCGACUCUUCACCCGAGCACUCCGGACUCGAAGACGUUCCGUAUCAGUUUCCGGUUAUUGUUCCUGCGGAUCCCCAGACAUUCCCGUUUUCAUUCAAUCUUGAAUGCAAGAUAUAUUUUGGGGAAUUCCACCCCGGGACUCUUCACCGAUCACUUGGGAAUUGAAGAUCUAACUGAUCAACUUCCCGUUCUUAUUCCAGUUGAUCCCCAGAAUAUCCCGUUCCCAUUCAACGUUGAAUGUGGGAUUUGUUUGGGCAAAUUCAUCUUGGAGGAGAUCUUUUGGCGUAUAUCCCUUGUUUACAUACUUUUCACUUUUCAUUUUUCCUCGUAUUAUUAAUGAUUUUAGAAAUCGUGUUUGUAUCUGAAAAUCUGGAUAUUCGUUAAAAACUAUUAUUCGCAAAUAACUGCGAAUAUUCGUAAAUAUGUAAAAAAUAUAUAUUGAAAUGACGUAUAUUUUAGACCAAAAUACCGAAUAUUAUCUAAAUACUAGAUAUUUCAAAUAUUAUAUAUGUAUCUAAAUACUGGAUCUGUAUUUUUAAAUAUCGGGUAUCCAGGUUAAAAAAAGAUAUUUGAUAUCCGUUUUUAAAAACCGAAUUAUCCGUAUAUGUAACCGAAAAUCUCAUUUUACUAUUUGUAUAAGCUUUUGUGGAAAUCAUUUUUUUAAGACAAAAACAGAUACAUAUAUAACAUCAUAAGGAGGUGGGGCACGUGCCCUAUAUUAAUAACUUCCCAAUUAGUGAGCUUGCAAUAAUGUCUAUUUAGCUUUUUUGGUAAAAGAUUCUCCAUGUAUUAACCUGUGACCAGGGUUCGAAACCCCAAAUCUCAGAUUUUUUUUCAUUUUUUAUUAUUUUUUCUGCUUUAUUUACGGAUUUUAUGCCUCAAUCUCUCCUUCAUUUGAAAACAUAAAAAGACCCAAAAUAAAAAUAUCAAACCUCUAAUUUUAUUUCAUGAACAAAUAAUAUUUUCCACUAAAAUCGUGACAUGAUCUUAAGAAUGACAUUAAUUAGCACUAGGGAUGGACGCGCACAUACGUACGAGGUUGAUUACAAAACCUAUGUUUAUCAUAAAUCUGCAAUAUUCGGAUCGACAUGAUAAGAGACGGAUCGAGUGUCAGAAUAAUCAUUGAACCUUCCACCCGGCGUUUCUUCUUCAAAGCUGAGCUGAACCACUUUUCCCAAAGUCUCUUCUUUUCUUCAUCGAAGAGCGCCCUACCUUACCACUUGACUUUGUCUUUCAUUUUGAGCAGCAUUGGCAAAGCACAGAUGAACCGGUGAAACGAAUUAAUGAUAAGUUAAAAAUCAAUUAAAUUCUUGAAUUAUCACAUCAUAUAAAAACAAUGAAAAA
rnacentral:lncRNA from 1 species